UGGGGGAAAAUUAGUUGAAGUAAAUUUAUUUUGAAUUAAUGUUUGCGAACGCUGUUUAGCCAUUAGUGGCCAUGGCAUCGGAAAAGCAAUCUUUUGACACGCUAAGUUUGCGGGAUUUGUGGGAGAGUAAGUGCGGUCUGUUCUUCCGUGAAUCAGUCACGUCCAGAGAGACACUGUUUCAAGGGCUCUAGUACCACCCACCAGAACGACACCAAGAAGUCUGCACCUCAGAUUUGGUGCUUCGCCCUUCUCCUGCUCAUCGUUCAAGGCAUUUUAUUCAAUAUCCGGCUGAUAAUUGGUUUUAUAUGGGAUUUCUGAGAUGGAACACAAGUAUGCAAAUAUAGGAAGAAAGGCAGCAUAUACGCAAGAUUCUGAUGACUGGCAGCAAAGAGAGACGUUCAGAGUUGUAAAUCAAUGGAAUUUUAAAAUGUCAAAUGCACAUUCUUUCUGUUCAAAUGUCUUGGCUGGUUAUCUGAACAGCAGUAAAAAAGUUGCUUGACUAAGCUGCUUUAAAUCUAGUAGAUCCUGGGCAUAGAAGUGAAGCUGCUUUACGUUUUGUAGAUGAACUUCUAAGUAAAAGAUGCUUUUAGGAAUCCUGUUUAUUCUUUUAUAAUUUGAUGUCAAUGUUGUGAAGUUAGAUGGUUGGUAUAAACUGUUGAAUAUUGAAUUUUGCAAUUUCAACUUGAAUACACUGCUUCUUCAUUGUUUUUCUUUAAUGUAGUUCUGAUGUGAAACUGAUAAAUCUAAUCCAAAUUUACUUAAUUUUCA